rnacentral:rRNA from 1 species
GAUGAACGCUGGCGGCGUGCCUAAUACAUGCAAGUCGAGCGAACAGAUGAGGAGCUUGCUCCUCUGACGUUAGCGGCGGACGGGUGAGUAACACGUGGAUAACCUACCUAUAAGACUGGGAUAACUUCGGGAAACCGGAGCUAAUACUGGCUAAUAUAUUGAACGGCAUGGUUCAAUAGUGAAUGACGGUUUUGCCGUCUCUUUUAGACGGAUCCGCGCCGCAUUAGCUAGUUGGUAAGGUAACGGCUUACCAAGGCGACGAUGCGUAGCCGACCUGAGAGGGUGAUCAGCCACACUGGAACUGAGACACGGUCCAGACUCCUACGGGAGGCAGCAGUAGGGAAUCUUCCGCAAAGGGCGAAAGCCUGACGGAGCAACGCCGCGUGAGUGAUGAAGGUCUUCGGAUCGUAAAACUCUGUUAUUAGGGAAGAACAAAUGUGUAAGUAACUAUGCACGUCUUGACGGUACCUAAUCAGAAAGCCACGGCUAACUACGUG